rnacentral:rRNA from 1 species
AACGAACGCUGGCGGCAUGCCUAACACAUGCAAGUCGAACGAGACCUUCGGGUCUAUUGGCGCACGGGUGCGUAACGCGUGGGAACCUGCCCUUAGGUUCGGAAUAACUCCCCGAAAGGGGUGCUAAUACCGGAUAAUGUCUUCGGACCAAAGAUUUAUCGCCUUUGGAUGUGCCCGCGUUGGAUUAGCUUGUUGGUAGGGUAAAAGCAUACCAAGGCGACGAUCCAUAGCUGGUCUGAGAGGAUGAUCAGCCACACUGGGACUGAGACACGGCCCAGACUACUACGGGAGGAAGCAGUGGGGAAUAUUGGAAAAUGGGCGAAAGCCUGAUAAAGCAAUGCCGCGUGAGUGAUGAAGGCAUUAGGGUUGUAAAGCUAUUUUACAAGGGAUGAUAAUGACAGUACCGGGAGAAUAAGCACCGGCUAACUCCGUG